UAGAGUUUGAUCAUGGCUCAGGACGAACGCUGGCGGCGUGCUUAACACAUGCAAGUCGAACGCUGAAGCCCGGUGCUUGCACUGGGUGGAUGAGUGGCGAACGGGUGAGUAACACGUGAGUAACCUGCCCCGGACUCUGGGAUAAGCGCUGGAAACGGCGUCUAAUACUGGAUAUGCACCAUGGCCGCAUGGCCUGUGGUGGGAAAGAUUUAUCGGUUCGGGAUGGACUCGCGGCCUAUCAGCUAGAUGGUGAGGUAAUGGCUCACCAUGGCGACGACGGGUAGCCGGCCUGAGAGGGUGACCGGCCACGCUGGGACUGAGACACGGCCCAGACUCCUACGGGAGGCAGCAGUGGGGAAUAUUGCACAAUGGGCGCAAGCCUGAUGCAGCAACGCCGCGUGAGGGAUGACGGCCUUCGGGUUGUAAACCUCUUUUAGUAGGGAAGAAGCGCAAGUGACGGUACCUGCAGAAAAAGCACCGGCUAACUACGUGCCAGCAGCCGCGGUAAU
rnacentral:rRNA from 1 species